ensembl:lncRNA
GCAAAUCCUUGUGACAAUCCCUUGAGUUGAGCCAGCAGCAGGUGGAAAUGCUUGCUGCUAAAAAUGCCACGCUAAGGGAGUCGGUGAAAUGUCUCACUGACAAUGUUACCCAGAAGCCGCUGGAGAGGACGCGGAGACCAUGGUAAAAAGCUUCAUCAAAACCCACCUGAAGCUGCAGGAGGACAUGGUGAAGAAUAUCGCCUUCAAUAGAGUGCAUCGCAUUGGCCCCAUCUGGGCUGCGACCGGGAGACCACGUCCUAUUGUGGCCAAAUUCGGCCACUUCAAACAAAAGGAACAGGUGAAAAGUCGCAGCAGGAAAUUAAAAGGAACUGACUUCAGUGUAAACAACCAGUUCCCAAAAGAGAUCCUGGAACGACGGCGGGUCCUCUUCCCAAUCCGAUGAGGAUUCAUCCAGAAGGG